rnacentral:rRNA from 1 species
GACGAACGCUGGCGGCGUGCCUAAUACAUGCAAGUAGAACGCUGAAGGAGGAGCUUGCUUCUCUGGAUGAGUUGCGAACGGGUGAGUAACGCGUAGGUAACCUGCCUGGUAGCGGGGGAUAACUAUUGGAAACGAUAGCUAAUACCGCAUAAGAGUAGAUGUUGCAUGACAUUUGCUUAAAAGGUGCAGUUGCAUCACUACCAGAUGGACCUGCGUUGUAUUAGCUAGUUGGUGAGGUAACGGCUCACCAAGGCAACGAUACAUAGCCGACCUGAGAGGGUGAUCGGCCACACUGGGACUGAGACACGGCCCAGACUCCUACGGGAGGCAGCAGUAGGGAAUCUUCGGCAAUGGACGGAAGUCUGACCGAGCAACGCCGCGUGAGUGAAGAAGGUUUUCGGAUCGUAAAGCUCUGUUGUAAGAGAAGAACGAGUGUGAGAGNGGAAAGUUCACACNGNGACGGUNUCUNCC